rnacentral:rRNA from 1 species
GAUGAACGCUGGCGGCGUGCCUAAUACAUGCAAGUCGAGCGAACGGACGAGAAGCUUGCUUCUCUGAUGUUAGCGGCGGACGGGUGAGUAACACGUGGAUAACCUACCUAUAAGACUGGGAUAACUUCGGGAAACCGGAGCUAAUACCGGAUAAUAUUUUGAACCGCAUGGUUCAAAAGUGAAAGACGGUCUUGCUGUCACUUAUAGAUGGAUCCGCGCUGCAUUAGCUAGUUGGUAAGGUAACGGCUUACCAAGGCAACGAUGCAUAGCCGACCUGAGAGGGUGAUCGGCCACACUGGAACUGAGACACGGUCCAGACUCCUACGGGAGGCAGCAGUAGGGAAUCUUCCGCAAUGGGCGAAAGCCUGACGGAGCAACGCCGCGUGAGUGAUGAAGGUCUUCGGAUCGUAAAACUCUGUUAUUAGGGAAGAACAUAUGUGUAAGUAACUGUGCACAUCUUGACGGUACCUAAUCAGAAAGCCACGGCUAACUACGUGCCAGCAGCCGCGGUAAUACGUAGGUGGCAAGCGUUAUCCGGAAUUAUUGGGCGUAAAGCGCGCGUAGGCGGUUUUUUAAGUCUGAUGUGAAAGCCCACGGCUCAACUGUGGAGGGUCAUUGGAAACUGGAAAACUUGAGUGCAGAAGAGGAAAGUGGAACUCCAUGUGUAGCGGUGAAAUGCGCAGAGAUAUGGAGGAACACCAGUGGCGAAGGCGACUUUCUGGUCUGUAACUGACGCUGAUGUGCGAAAGCGUGGGGAUCAAACAGGAUUAGAUACCCUGGUAGUCCACGCCGUAAACGAUGAGUGCUAAGUGUUAGGGGGUUUCCGCCCCUUAGUGCUGCAGCUAACGCAUUAAGCACUCCGCCUGGGGAGUACGACCGCAAGGUUGAAACUCAAAGGAAUUGACGGGGACCCGCACAAGCGGUGGAGCAUGUGGUUUAAUUCGAAGCAACGCGAAGAACCUUACCAAAUCUUGACAUCCUUUGACAACUCUAGAGAUAGAGCUUUCCCCUUCGGGGGACAAAGUGACAGGUGGUGCAUGGUUGUCGUCAGCUCGUGUCGUGAGAUGUUGGGUUAAGUCCCGCAACGAGCGCAACCCUUAAGCUUAGUUGCCAUCAUUAAGUUGGGCACUCUAAGUUGACUGCCGGUGACAAACCGGAGGAAGGUGGGGAUGACGUCAAAUCAUCAUGCCCCUUAUGAUUUGGGCUACACACGUGCUACAAUGGACAAUACAAGGGGCAGCGAAACCGCGAGGUCAAGCAAAUCCCAUAAAGUUGUUCUCAGUUCGGAUUGUAGUCUGCAACUCGACUACAUGAAGCUGGAAUCGCUAGUAAUCGUAGAUCAGCAUGCUACGGUGAAUACGUUCCCGGGUCU